rfam:Aedes albopictus isolate Foshan contig31871, whole genome shotgun sequence.
GCAACGGCUUUCCUCAAAGCCACAACACCGACCGCAGAGAGAAAAA